UACAGAGGUCUCAAGCGUCGUUCGGAUUCAUUGGGCGUAAAGGGCGUGUAGGUGGCGCCGUAAGUGGGGUGUGAAAUCUCGGGGCUUAACUCCGAAACUGCAUUCCAUACUGCGGUGCUUGAGGACUGGAGAGGAGACUGGAAUUCAUGGUGUAGCAGUGAAAUGCGUAGAGAUCAAGAGGAAGACCAGUGGCGAAGGCGGGUCUCUGGACAGUUCCUGACACUGAGACACGAAGGCCAGGGGAGCAAACGGG
rnacentral:rRNA from 1 species